AAAUUUAGGUUACUACAAACCAAGGGCCUUCAAAGCCCCAAACAGGGCUCUAGGCCCUAAUUUCUG
rnacentral:tRNA from 1 species